rnacentral:rRNA from 1 species
UACGUAGGGGGCAAGCGUUGUCCGGAUUUAUUGGGCGUAAAGAGCGUGUAGGCGGCCAUUCAGGUCAGCUGUGAAAACUCGAGGCUCAACCUCGAGACGUCGGUUGAAACCGUUUGGCUAGAGUCCGGAAGAGGAGAGUGGAAUUCCCGGUGUAGCGGUGAAAUGCGCAGAUAUCAGGAAGAACACCCGUGGCUAAGGCGGCUCUCUAGUACGUGACUGACGCUGAGACGCGAAAGCGUGGGGAGCGAACAGG